AGCAGCCGCGGUAAUUCCAGCUCCAAUAGCGUAUAUUAAAGUUGUUGCAGUUAAAAAGCUCGUAGUUGAAUUUCGGGAUCAAUAUGCUGGUCGUGCCAUUGGUACGUACUAGUAUUUAUAUUGGUUUCUUCCUUCUGAUGAAUCAUGAUGUCAUUAAGUUGAUGUCAUGGGGAAUCAGGACUGUUACUUUGAAAAAUUAGAGUGUUUAAAGCAGGCUCGCGCUUGAAUACAUUAGCAUGGAAUAAUGAAAUAGGACGUUUGAUUCUAUUUUGUUGGUUUCUAGGAUUGACGUAAUGAUUAAUAGGGAUAGUUGGGGGCAUUAGUAUUCAAUUGUCAGAGGUGAAAUUCUUGGAUUUAUUGAAGACUAACUACUGCGAAAGCAUUUGCCAAGGAUGUUUUCAUUAAUCAAGAACGAAAGUUAGGGGAUCGAAGACGAUCAGAUACCGUCGUAGUCUUAACCAUAAACUAUGCCGACUAGGGAUCGGAUGAUGUUAAUUUUUAA
rnacentral:rRNA from 1 species